GGCGAACGCUGGCGGCGUGCUUAACACAUGCAAGUCGAACGGAAAGGCCCUGCUUUUGUGGGGUGCUCGAGUGGCGAACGGGUGAGUAACACGUGAGUAACCUGCCCUUGACUUUGGGAUAACUUCAGGAAACUGGGGCUAAUACCGGAUAGGAGCUCCUGCUGCAUGGUGGGGGUUGGAAAGUUUCGGCGGUUGGGGAUGGACUCGCGGCUUAUCAGCUUGUUGGUGGGGUAGUGGCUUACCAAGGCUUUGACGGGUAGCCGGCCUGAGAGGGUGACCGGCCACAUUGGGACUGAGAUACGGCCCAGACUCCUACGGGAGGCAGCAGUGGGGAAUAUUGCACAAUGGGCGGAAGCCUGAUGCAGCAACGCCGCGUGCGGGAUGACGGCCUUCGGGUUGUAAACCGCUUUCGCCUGUGACGAAGCGUGAGUGACGGUAAUGGGCAAAGAAGCACCGGCUAACUACGUG
rnacentral:rRNA from 1 species